rnacentral:rRNA from 1 species
GGACGAACGCUGGCGGCGUGCUUAACCCAUGCAAGUCGAACGGAAAGGCCCUGCUUGCAGGGUGCUCGAGUGGCGAACGGGUGAGUAACACGUGGGUGAUCUGCCCCUUACUUUGGGAUAAGCCUGGGAAACUGGGUCUAAUACUGGAUAGGACCAUGCUGUAGGUGGUGUGGUGGAAAGAUUAGUUUCGGUAAGGGAUGAGCUCGCGGCCUAUCAGCUUGUUGGUGGGGUAAUGGCCUACCAAGGCGUCGACGGGUAGCCGGCCUGAGAGGGUGGACGGCAACAUUGGGACUGAGAGACGGCCCAGACUCCUACGGGAGGCAGCAGUGGGGAAUAUUGCACAAUGGGCGCAAGCCUGAUGCAGCGACGCCGCGUGGGGGAUGACGGCCUUCGGGUUGUAAACUCCUUUCAGCCAUGACGAAGCCCUUGUGGUGACGGUAGUGGUAGAAGAAGCACCGGCUAACUACGUG